rnacentral:rRNA from 1 species
UACGGAGGAUCCGAGCGUUAUCCGGAUUUAUUGGGUUUAAAGGGUGCUCAGGCGGGACAUUAAGUCGGCGGUGAAAUUUUGCGGCUCAACCGUAAAAGUGCCUUCGAAACUGGUAUCCUUGAGUGUGGAUGAGGUAGGCGGAAUUUGUGGUGUAGCGGUGAAAUGCAUAGAUAUCACGAGGAACUCCGAUUGCGCAGGCAGCUUACUAAGCCAUAACUGACGCUCAAGCACGAAGGCGUGGGGAUCAAACAGGAUUAGAUACCCUGGUAGUCCACGCAGUAAACGAUGAUUACUGGCUGUUUGCGAUAUAAUGUAAGCGGCUGAGCGAAAGCGUUAAGUAAUCCACCUGGGGAGUACGUUCGCAAGAAUGAAACUCAAAGGAAUUGACGGGGGCCCGCACAAGCGGAGGAACAUGUGGUUUAAUUCGAUGAUACGCGAGGAACCUUACCCGGGCUUGAAAUGCGUCUGACAGUCGGAGAGAUCCGAUCUCCCUUCGGGGCAGACGUGUAGGUGCUGCAUGGUUGUCGUCAGCUCGUGCCGUGAGGUGUCGGCUUAAGUGCCAUAACGAGCGCAACCCUCAUCGUUAGUUGCCAUCAGGUAGUGCUGGGGACUCUAACGAGACUGCCAUCGUAAGAUGCGAGGAAGGUGGGGAUGACGUCAAAUCAGCACGGCCCUUACGUCCGGGGCGACACACGUGUUACAAUGGGUGGUACAAAGGGCAGCUACAUGGCGACAUGAUGCCAAUCCCCAAAACCACUCUCAGUUCGGAUCGGAGUCUGCAACUCGACUCCGUGAAGCUGGAUUCGCUAGUAAUCGCGCAUCAGCCACGGCGCGGUGAAUACGUUCCCGGGCCUUGUACACACCGCCCGUCAAGCCAUGGAAGCUGGGGGUGCCUGAAGUCCGUAACCGACAAGGAGCGGCCUAGGGUAAAACCGGUGACUGGGGCUAAGUCGUAACAAGGUAGCCGUACCGGAAGGUGC